AUGAUGUAGAGAAGCCAGACUCCUAAGUUCUAGGGGUCCAGAGCGCGUGCCUGGCCCUCCAGACAGGGGCUGCCUAAGCCCCGCGCUCAGUGAGGGUUGCCUGUACCUGGAGCCGGGGCCAGGCCUGGCCAGCCAGGCGGGCGCUGACCGGGGGCGUCCCCGCUCUACGGUGGCGGCGGGAGGAGGCGGCGCGGGCUGGGCCCCGGGUGGCUGCCAGGGCAACCAGGGAAUUUGGGGCCGGGCCGUACCACUCGCAGCGCGGCAGGGGCGGCCGGCCAGGCCCCGCUGGGCGCAGGCCUAUGGAGGGCGGAACCCUGGAGCCCCCAGGGGAGGGCACGGCGCAGGCAGAUGGCCCUGUGCAGGGCUGAGCUGGAAGAGGUAACCAGGGCCUCCUCGCACCUUGCCCACCAGAGUGAGCCUGGCCUGCAGCUCCCUGCACUCCCGCUGCAAGGCAGCAAUCUGCUUGUCCUUGGCCAGCAGUGCACUGGCUGUCUCACUGAGGUCCCGGGCUCGCUGGCUGGCUAGGGCCUUCCGACACAACUCCAAGCUGGCCCCUGGCCGGGGCAAGGGGGCACUCACCUCGCCAGAGGAGGGCGGUUGGAAAGGAUUAACUCCACAUCUGAGUUUAGGAUCAAAGGAUGCUGCUAAUUUGGGGCUGCCACUGUGAUGGGUCUCAUCCCUGCCCCCACUCCAGCUCUAUACCCUGAGAUGAGCUCAGCAGGAGGCUGCCGCCAGCACCAGCACGUGGUAAUCCAGAAUCCUGCUCCCUGCCUGCUCAGGAACCUCCCCAUCCAGCUCUUCUCUGCCCCCUGUAGCUCCAGAAACUUUUGGCCUCCUUGCCUGGCCAGCCUCUGCCCUUCCUGCACCUUAGCCCCUAGAUUCUUGCUUUCCUAGGUGCUGAGACUGUGACUCCCAAGCUUCAGACAACCCUCAGGCCCAGCCCUGGCUCCCCUCUUCCUCGGUCACCCAGCCUCCACCCAGCAGCCUCCCCUACGUUGACGGACAAGUCAAUGUAGGCCAGCGCAGGAUGUUAAGGGUAAACAGGGGAACUACAUCUGACCUAGCAAAAAGUCUUGCUUGAAAGUUAUUACAAUGAAAUGUGGCCUGGACGCGGUGGCUCAUGUCUGUAAUCCCAGCACUUAGGUAGGCAGAGGCAGGAGGAUCGCUUGAGCCCAGGAGUUCGAGAUCUGCCUGGUAACACGUGUGACUCCAUUCUCCACAAAAAUGGUAAAAAAAAAAAAAAGAAAGAAAGAAAAAGAAACAAAGAAAGAAAGAAAUGUAGAAGGUAAAAAAAAAAAGGCAUUCCAAUGUAAAAGAGGCUUGAUAGGACAGGAUAUGUCUGGGGAAUCUACAAGUAGCUCACUAUGGUUAGAAGUGGUUAGAGAUUAGGCUAGGGAAGUAGGUAGAGGUCAGGAAAUGGAAGAUCUGGACAGAGGAAGGUCUGGGUGAAAUGAACAAAUACUUGGCUUUACGAAAGACACGUCUAGUAGCAGUAGGGAGUAUUAGGAGAGAAAUGAGGCUAGUUAGGAGGCUAGUAUAAUAAACCCACUAAGAAGAUCUAUAAGAAAAUGAAGGUAGAAGAAAAUGAAAGGCUAAGAAUACAUAAUUUGCAUUUGCUGACAAACUAGAUAUGAGAGGAAAUGAUGAUACCUUUAUUUCUGCAUAAGUAAUAGGAUAGAUAAUGGUGCCAUUCAGUACUGGCAAAUGAAAGUGAAAAAGUUUUGGGAAAACGAUGCCCUGUUUUAGACAUGCCAGGUGUCAGUUCCAGGAAGUUACCCUGAUGGUACAUCUCCAUAAGUAACAUGGAAAGCAAAUACACAGGUUAUUGGUUGCAACAUUAUCUGCGAAACUGACACACUGGAAACAGCCUAAAUGCUCAGACCUAGAAUAUUGGCCGAAAACCUAUGGAAUCUACACAACAUGUAACAAAGCUAUAAAAAUAAGAAAAAUCUCUAUGAAAACAAGAUACAAAAGAGUAUUUAAAAGUACAACAGCAUGGAUACUACGCUAUCUUUUGUACAAGAAAGGGGAAAUGAGAAUAUAUAUAUAAUAUGUAUCUGCUUAUACCUGCAAAAAUGAAGACAACUAAGAUAAACUAAAAGCUAAUGAUACUGGAAGGGAAGGAUAAGAAAUAAGACUUUUCAGUAUACCUUCUGAGUAAAACCUCAAUGGUUUUAUCAUCCAUUUCUUUCUUUCCUGAAUGAAAUAUUACUGCAAUUGUAAAAUGUACAUUUUUCCUUUUGAACCAUAUUAAUGUUUAAUAUAUUCCAAAAAUAAAAUCAACAAGGAUGAGGGGUGGGAAGUACAACGGAAUACAAUAGGAACACAUAAAUUUAAUUGACUAUUACACCAAUAACUUUACCACAGAAAGAGAAAGAGAAAAAAGAUAUAAGAGAAAAAGAUUUUUUUUUUUAGAUGGAGUCUCACUCUGUCACCCAGGCUGCAGUGCAGUGGCAUGGUCUCGGCUCACUGCAACCUCCGCCUCCCAGGUUCAAGUGAUUCUCCUGCCUCAGCCUCCAAAGUAGCUGGGACUACAGGUGCCCGCCACCACGCCUGGCUAAUUUUUGUAUUUUUAGUAGAGAUGGGGUUUCACCAUGUUGGCCAGGCUGGUUUCGAACUCCUGACCUCAUGAUCUGCCCGCCUUGGCCUCCCAAAGUGCUGGGAUUACAGGCGUGAGCCACUGUGCCUGGCGAGAAAAAGAUACUUAAGUAAUUUUAGACUGCACACCUUUAGUGGCCUAUAUGUAAGCACACAAAAAUUG